GUCAAGUAAGAAUACCCGCUGAACUUAAGCAUAUCAAUAAGCGGAGGAAAAGAAACUAACUAGGAUUCCCUUAGUAACGGCGAGUGAACUGGGAAAAGCUCAAAUUUUAAAUCACCCCGGUGAAUUGUAAUUUGAAGAAAGUGAUUUGACUUUUCAGUUUAAUCUAAAUCCUUUGGGAUGAGGUAUCAUAGAGGGUGAGAAUCCCGUUCUUGAUUAAACCUCGGAUUGCACUAAUUCACUUUCUAAGAGUCGAGUUGUUUGGGAUUGCAGCUCCAAAUGGGUGGUAAAUUUCACCUAAGGCUAAAUAUAUGCAAGAGACCGAUAGCGAACAAGUACCGUGAGGGAAAGAUGAAAAGAACUUUGAAAAGAGAGUUAAAUAGUACGUGAAAUUGUUGAAAGGGAAUCGAUUGAAGUCAGUCAUGCUAAUGAGGAAUCAACUUGGUGGUUUACUUCCUUGUGCAUUUUCUCGCUUGGCAGGUUAGCAUCAAUUUUGGUUGUCAUCAAAGAAUUAGGGGAAUGUGGCUUUUCUUCGGUAAAGUGUUAUAGACUCUGAUUGAUGUGGCGACUGGGAUUGAGGUUUGCAGCGAAUGCCUUUUUGGGCUAGUCACCUGUCUUCUGACCGUCACCUCGCUUUUGACAGCUUGCUGAUGAUCGCGGGAUUUGGCGACCUAGGAGUUAGAGUGAACAUAAAUUCGCUAAGGAAGCUGACGUAAUGGCUUUAAACGACCCGUCUUGAAACACGGACCAAGGAGUCUAACAUAUGUGCGAGUGUU
rnacentral:rRNA from 1 species